CAGGCUGCUGCCAUGUGUCCUUCAGGGAUGAAAAACAAGCAGGAAUUGUCUCAAAAACUAAAAAGUGUUUAUUUUCUGGAGGUACUUUUAAAUAGUUGAUCCUGGUUGCUAUCCCAAGCCCUGGGAUUGUCCUUUGGAACAGCCAGCCUGGGAAACAUGGCAGAAAAAGCAAUCUUCAUCUCAGAAAUCAGUGUUUACUAUUGUAAUUAUAAAUUGUAAGCAAUUACAAUUAUUCCUUCAUUUUGAUAA